UUAUUUUGCUUAACACACUUAGCAAGUUGAUCAAUAUAGAUAAGUUUUUUGGAAGAUACAUAUUGGAACCGUGGUAUUCGUACAAAGACAAGACGGCGACAAUGUCUUGGACAUAGAUAGCAAUUGCUACAUCACAGCAAUCCUGCGCGUUCAUGCUUCUUAUCCAUGGCUAAUGAAUCGUAUAGAUUCUUAGCAUCUUCUUCAAAAACGAUUGACUUAUACCGCAUCUUUCUCAAACAUCCAUCUUGAACGCCAGUGCUCUAGCCCCCAGUGGAGAUAAUAAGACUUAAAUGCUCGAAGAGUCUAUAGUAGUCGGUCUAUUUCGGUGUAAUAGUUUGCAAAUCACAAAAGAAAAAAAUAUAUAUUUUUAAAGUUUUCAUUUAUUUUAUCACAUUCUUUUUAAAUAUUUCGGUUUUAAAUUGGUCUAUUUCAAUUUAAUUGGUUUAAAAGCAUUAAGAAGAUGUAUUGGAUUAAGAAUCUGAGGAAUUUUAGUUAAAACUACAAAGAAUUGAAAUUAGAAUAGCUUUUGUAAGGUUUUUGUUACAAACUUUAAGGUGACUUUUCUAACAUGUAUUUUUAUUUAAUUUAUUUAAAAUGGUACAAUUUAUCCUUCAAAACUUUGUUAUGAUUAUUUUUUAUUUUAUAAUAUACAGAAAAUAUAUACAAAUAAAAUAUUUUUGCCUAGAUUAUUUAGAAAAAAAAGUGAGUUGAAUUAGCUUAUUUAAAAACUUCUAGCAAUAUUAUGGUCAUAUAUUUUUAAUUAUAAAUUAAAUUUUGACACACACAUUUAAAAGGUACCAUUGUUUUUGGAUGAUGAAAAAAUUAUUUAAAAGCUUUUAUUCUAUACAUUUGAUCUAUUUUUAAGUUUUUUAUAAAUUUAUGUUUACAUUUCUGUGCAUUAUUUGUUUUCUUAAGGAUAUUUUUAAGUUUUGAGAAGAAUUUAGAUCUGCUAUAUAUAAUUACUUUUAAUUUACAUAUUUAAAAAUUGGAUGAUUUUUUAGAAGUUUUUAUAUAUUUUUGUUACAUGUGUAUAAAUUUAGCUUUUCAAUAUUAAAUUUGCGAAUAUAAGCUAAAGUCUUACAAAAAUAAAAAUAGAGUAACCAUUAGAUUUUAGAAAAAUAUGUAUUGCUAUGGCUAGAGUAAAUAUUUAUGAUUUGUGAAUAGUUGUGAUGUUUGUUAAUUUUUUUCAUUUUUAAAAUACUUAAAACAUCAAUAAUACAAGGCGGAAAAAAAAAAUUUCUGGAAAUAAAUUAAACGGAAACAUGUUUCUAUGGAGACUAAUCCCUAAUAUAUACAACUAAUACAUGAUAAAAAAAAUAGCGCUUUAGAUAUAAAUUUAUUUCUCUUUUGAAACUAUAUGAAGUUACUUUUUAUCUUUUGAUUACACAUAAAGACUAUUUUAAGCCUAAAAUCCAUGAUCUAUGAUUGCAGAUUUUUAUAAAUAUCCAUGAUCUAUGACUUUAUUUUAACACAUGUAAAGGUUGCCAGAUUUUUUUAGUUAUAUAAAUUCAAUUUUGACAAUUACUAGAUAUUUGAUAUCUUUUAUAUAUAUAAUUAUCUAUGAUUGUACUAUCAAAAACUUGAUGUGAACAUAUUUACAUUACAUAUGUAAAACUUUUUCAUAUCUGUGUUUUAUAAGAGAAAUCAUAAUAUAUUUUUAAUGAAAGAUUGGAAUAACCAUAUGAAUAUAUAAUACUAAAUAUAUUUUACAUUAUUUAUCAAAAUCUUACAAAAAUAAUAAUUAAUAAAAAAUUAUAAGUUUAAAGUGAAUUAAAAUGAAAACUGAUAAUUCAUAAUUAGUUUUCAUCUAAAAUGAUAUAAAAUCAAAAAUUCAUAAAACAUUAAUGUAAAUAAUAGAAUAAUUAAAUAUUUUUUAGAGUUAUAUAUACUAACGUUAAUGGAAAUAUUCAGUCCAUAAUAACAAUUUUAAUUCAUAUUUAUUACAGUUUGAAAAAUACAUCUCAAUAGUCAAUAUAAAAUUAUAUAUGGACAAGGUAAUAUGAAAGAAAAUAAAAAGUCCACACUUUAGGUAAGAAAUCACUUUUAUAUUAUUUUUGACUGUAAUCUAAGAAAAUUAAAUGAAAGAUUUUCUCUUAGAGAUUUUUUAUGCAAGUUCAUGUUUGUAUAUAUAAUAUCAAUCCAAAGUAACAGAACACUCAAACAAUUUAGAAAACAUCCUACAAAAUGAGUUUCUUCCAAAAUAUAUUAAUCUCAUUUGUUUUCACUAUUUUCUUCAUGACUUCAAAUGUUCACUGCACCAAUAAUGUUCCGGAUUUUGGAGUAGAAGAAAAAAUUACAAAAUGCAAUUAUCCUUGUAACCGAGAAGCUGCAUGUGUCUACUUUUGUAGAGCCAAAUAUCAGGCAACUGGUAGUUGUAGUACUGGCCGUUGUUGUUGUAGCAAAUAAAAAAAUUAGAAUAAUUUUAUUAGAUAUUAUAUAUUUAAUAAAAUGAAAAUAAUAUCACCAAUAAUACAUAAACAUGUUAUCAAA